CCUACGGGUGGCAGCAGUGGGGAAUAUUGCGCAAUGGGCGAAAGCCUGACGCAGCGACGCCGCGUGAGGGAUGAAGGUCUUCGGAUCGUUAACCUCCGUUAGCAGGGAAGUACGGUCACUGUGCUAAUCAGCAGUGAAUUGACGGUACCUGCAAAGGAAGCAUCGGCUAACUCCGUGCCAGCAGCCGCGGUAAUACGGAGGGUGCGAGCGUUAAUUGGAAUUACUGGGCGUAAAGCGCUCGUAGGCGGUAUGUCAAGUCAAGGGUGAAAUCCCCGCGCUCAACGUGGGAACUGCCUUUGAUACUGGCAAACUGGAGUGUGUGAGAGGUAAGUGGAAUUCCAGGUGUAGGAGUGAAAUCCGUAGAUAUCUGGAGGAACAUCAGUGGCGAAGGCGACUAUCUGGCACAUAACUGACGCUGAGGAGCGAAAGCGUGGGUAGCAAACAGGAUUAGAUACCCUUGUAGUC
rnacentral:rRNA from 1 species